AGAACGAACGCUGGCGGCAGGCUUAACACAUGCAAGUCGAACGCUCCUAGCAAUAGGGGAGUGGCGCACGGGUGAGUAACACGUGGGAACAUGCCCUUCAGUUCAGGAUAACCACUGGAAACGGUGGCUAAUACUGGAUAUUCCCUCCGGGGGAAAGAUUUAUCGCUGAAGGAUUGGCCCGCGCUAGAUUAGGUAGUUGGUGGGGUAAUGGCCUACCAAGCCUACGAUCUAUAGCUGGUCUGAGAGGACGACCAGCCACACUGGAACUGAGACACGGUCCAGACUCCUACGGGAGGCAGCAGUGGGGAAUAUUGGACAAUGGGCGCAAGCCUGAUCCAGCCAUGCCGCGUGUGUGAUGAAGGCCUUAGGGUGUAAAGCACUUUUGUCAGGGAAGAUAAUGACGGUACCUGAAGAAUAAGCACCGGCUAACUUCGUGCCAGCAGCCGC
rnacentral:rRNA from 1 species